GCCCCGAUAGCUCAGCUGGUAGAGCACGUCAUUCGUAAUGAUGGGGUCGGCGGUUCGAUUCCGUCUCGGGGCA
rfam:Reticulomyxa filosa solexa3548795_1.exp, whole genome shotgun sequence.